rnacentral:rRNA from 1 species
UGGGGAAUAUUGCACAAUGGGCGAAAGCCUGAUGCAGCAACGCCGCGUGAGUGAUGAAGGCCUUCGGGUUGUAAAGCUCUGUCUUCUGGGACGAUAAUGACGGUACCAGAGGAGGAAGCCACGGCUAAAUACGUGCCAGCAGCCGCGGUAAUACGUAGGUGGCGAGCGUUGUCCGGAUUUACUGGGCGUAAAGGAUGCGUAGGCGGAUACUUAAGUCAGAUGUGAAAAUCCCAGGCUUAACUUGGGAACUGCAUUUGAAACUGGGUAUCUAGAGUGCGGGAGAGGAAAGUGGAAUUCCUAGUGUAGCGGUGAAAUGCGUAGAGAUUAGGAAGAACACCAGUGGCGAAGGCGACUUUCUGGACCGUAACUGACGCUGAGACAUGAAAGCGUGGGGAGCA